rnacentral:rRNA from 1 species
AACGAACGCUGGCGGCAGGCUUAACACAUGCAAGUCGAACGCCCCGCAAGGGGAGUGGCAGACGGGUGAGUAACGCGUGGGAACGUGCCCUUCGCUUCGGAAUAGCCCCGGGAAACUGGGAGUAAUACCGAAUACGCCGUAUUGGGAAAGAUUUAUCGGCGAAGGAUCGGCCCGCGUUAGAUUAGCUAGUUGGCGGUGUAAUGGACCACCAAGGCUACGAUCUAUAGCUGGUCUGAGAGGAUGAUCAGCCACACUGGGACUGAGACACGGCCCAGACUCCUACGGGAGGCAGCAGUGGGGAAUCUUGGACAAUGGGCGCAAGCCUGAUCCAGCCAUGCCGCGUGAGUGAAGAAGGCCUUAGGGUUGCAAAACUCUUUCGCCGGAGAAGAUAAUGACGGUAUCCGGAGAAGAAGCCCCGGCUAACUUCGUGCCAGCCGCCGCAGUAAAAC